rnacentral:rRNA from 1 species
CCUACGGGAUGCAGCAGUGGGGAAUAUUGCACAAUGGGCGCAAGCCUGAUGCAGCCAUGCCGCGUGUGUGAAGAAGGCCUUCGGGUUGUAAAGCACUUUCAGCGGGGAGGAAGGCGGUGAGGUUAAUAACCUCACCGAUUGACGCUACCCGCAGAAGAAGCACCGGCUAACUCCGUGCCAGCAGCCGCGGUAAUACGGAGGGUGCAAGCGUUAAUCGGAAUUACUGGGCGUAAAGCGCACGCAGGCGGUCUGUCAAGUCGGAUGUGAAAUCCCCGGGCUCAACCUGGGAACUGCAUUCGAAACUGGCAGGCUAGAGUCUUGUAGAGGGGGGUAGAAUUCCAGGUGUAGCGGUGAAAUGCGUAGAGAUCUGGAGGAAUACCGGUGGCGAAGGCGGCCCCCUGGACAAAGACUGACGCUCAGGUGCGAAAGCGUGGGGAGCAAACAGGAUUAGAUACCCCCGUAGUC